GGGGGUAAUCAUUUAUGAUCCUGUUACUGCUAAUAAUGGGUUUGGUAAUUAAUCGUUAUCUACCUCUU
rnacentral:tRNA from 1 species